UACGUAGGGGGCAAGCGUUGUCCGGAAUUAUUGGGCGUAAAGCGCGCGCAGGCGGUGAUGUAAGACAGGUGUGAAAUCCCCGGGCUUAACCUGGGAACUGCAUUUGUGACUGCAUCGCUGGAGUGCGGCAGAGGGGGAUGGAAUUCCGCGUGUAGCAGUGAAAUGCGUAGAUAUGCGGAGGAACACCGAUGGCGAAGGCAAUCCCCUGGGCCUGCACUGACGCUCAUGCACGAAAGCGUGGGGAGCAAACAGG
rnacentral:rRNA from 1 species